AUGAGAAAGGCACACUGAGGGGGAAAAAGGGGGAUUAGCGCUGUCUUUUUAAGAAUACUGACAAAUAUCAUGCGUUUACCGAUAUGAUUGGACUCCAAUCGUGUUAAGGUUGGUCUGUGAUCGGAAAAAAUGGCCCCCCUUGUAUCAUUUUAGCCAUCAAGGAAAAAAGGCUUCAAUAUGACAUCACCACCCUUUGCAGCUAUAGCAGCUUCAACUCUUCUGGGAAGACUUUACACAAGGUUUAGGAGUGUGUUUAUGGGAAUUUUUGACUAUUCUUCCAGAAGCGCUUUUGUGAGGUCAGAUACCGAUGGCUUGGCGUGGCUCGCAGUCUUCAUCUAAUUCUUCCCAAAGGGCUGUUCUAUCGGGCUGAGGUCAGGACUCUGUGCAGGCCAGUCAAGUUCUUCCACACCAAACUCACUCAUCCGUGUCUUUAUGGACCGGGGCUCAGUCAUGUAGGAGUAGGAAGGGGUUCAUCCCCAAACUGUUGCCACAAAGUUGGGAGCAAAAUCUCUUGGUAUGCUUAGUUUCCCUGGAACUAAGUGGCCAAACCCACACCAUAACCACCAAACUUCACACUUGGCACAAUGCAGUCAGACAAGUGCCAUUCUCCUGGCAACCACCAAACUCAGAUUGGUCCAUCAGAUUGCCAGAUUUGCACCACUGCAUCUAAUGCUUUGCAUUGCACUUUGUGACGUAUGGCUAGGAUGCAGCUGCUCAGCCGUGGAAACCCAUUCCAUGAAGCUCUGUACGGACUGUUCUUGAGCUAAUCAUAAACAGCUCAAACUCUGCAGAGUUGGGUGUAUUAGAGACUGAGGUGGAGUACAGGACACUGAUCAGAGACUUUGCCGAGUGAGCUCAGACAAACCAUCCUGCUCCUGAAUUGGGACAAGACCGUGGAGGCGGUCCGGUCGUCAGAGAGUUGGAGAUAAAUGUGUCUCCAUUAUGGACAAUCCACCCCAUCCACUACAUAAAACUAUAAAGGAACAGCGGAGCUCAUUCUCCAGCAGACUCAACCAGCUCCGUUCCCACAAUGAACACUACAGGACUUCAUUCAUAACAUUCUCAGUCCAGAUGUACAAAAACUCACCGUCAUUAUAAUGCACAUUAAUGCACCUUAUUAAUCCUCCCCAAGUGUGUAAUAUAUAUUUACUUCUUACAUUUUAACAUUAACCUGUAUGAAUACUUUUUAAUAAGUACAGUCCACUUACCUACCCUACUGACCUACAUACAAAAUACUAUUAGUCAUGGCAUUAAAUCCACAAAUAUCACGUAUUUCAAAGUGCAAAUUUUUUUACAUAACACACGUUUUUUCAAGGCAUAUCUGCAGAAACUGUUCUCAAAAGAAACUGUACGUCUGUUAAAGUUGCAAAGUUUGCAGUUUUCCACUCAUCACCAGGAACCCAGGGGGGGGAAUAAACACGAGGCAGAGAAUAAGUUAAAGUGCAAAUUUUCUUUUUAUUCUGAUUUCAUUUUACAGCAGAAAUUAUGUAAAGCAUUCAGAAGACAUUUUUCCACAUAUAAGGGCAAUAUUCAAAACACUUUGCAUGGCCUCAGCAACAAAAUAUUCUUUUUAAAAACAUCAACAAUUUUAGUGAUGCUUGUGCAUGCAUGUUCGUAAAACAAAAGAAGUAAAAACUAGGCUACAAAACAAAAAAAGAGGAAUGAGAGACUGAGAUAGGCAUGGAGAACACAACAGCAGGCAAGGUGGGAAGUACAGCAGGAAAUGAGGGGAGGGUGGGGGGUCGGGGGUGGGGGAGGCGGUUUUGAAAGAAGAGGAAGGCAAGGAGAGGUUUAGCCAUAGAUUAUCUAUAAGGGUCUACCAUUCUAGCAUGCAGUGUGGUGUUUGGCCACGCCCUCUCGAAACAAGGCCUGAAAGGUUGUACCAUUCAUUUUUAGGCGGACUUAUGAGAACAGAGGCCAUCUCUGCGCAUGUCUACCAGCUGUCUACUAUGGCAACGCUUCUUUAUUAUUAUCAUUAUUAUUAUUGUUAUUCUCUUUUUCUUUUUUUUUUCUUCUACUCUACAUACUCUUUUUACAGUCGCCAUCUUCUCCAAAAACAUGACAGAUUUUCAGCAGUCUGUGUGUUUCGUUUUGCGUGUUUGAGUCCAUAAGUGCGAGCAUUUGGAUGCUGGUGUGUGUGUGUGUGUGUGUGAGUACGGUAUUAAACUGGGUUCGGAGGAGCAGUUUUCUUUAAUUGUGCUGACGUGAGAGAGAAAGGGGCAGUUCGAGAAGAGGUUCGAGCAAUACCGCAGCAUUAAUGCUCCUGACAGCACUGCCCUAACCGUAGCUAGAUAGAUCCAAUUGCAGAUCUUUCAAUCUACUAUCGCUCUUAACUUUUGUUGAUAAGAUGGAGGGUGGUGUUUUUAAAAUACUUAUGAAUCGCUAUACUGGCUCGUUACUUGCUUUUAAUAUUAAUUUUUAUCAAUUUUAUAAAAUAAGAUUUAGUUGCUUUUUUUUUUCCUCGUAGAAAAAUCGACGAAGCAAAAAGAUCAAAUUGGCUGCUUCACAAAAACAGGACUGGAAUAUUAGAAAGACGACGUCAAUCGAAAAAACUGCCUAAAGGUCUGCGGAUGCUAACUAGUGAAUGAACGGCCGGAGUAUCCCCGAAACGCACACACGAAUAUGUGCACGCAACAUGUGCAGACGCACACACGGACACCAGUAGUGGUACAACCCUGUGCCAGCAGUCGUUACAUUCCACAUGCCAUCUCCCUGUUCUUCAACCCUGAGUAAAAUCUAAGGGAGAGAUUUCAUUGUUCCCAAAGACAUAAGCACAGAGAGAAAGAGUGUGGCCGCUUGUUUUGUGUGUGUGUGUGUGUAUUUGUGUUUGUGUGUGUUCACAUGUGUGCCCAUAUCCGUGUGAGACAGUGAGUGAAAGACAAAGAAAGAAAGCACGUAUGAACGUUUUUUUUUUUUUGUUGUUUGUUUUUUUUGUCCUCUGAAAAACUGCCCAGUUACGCUGCGUUCACUUAAAUGCUGCAAAAUCAUUUUCUGGAAAGAGACAGACACACACAUCCCCCUCCCUCCCUCCCCCCCUCCACAUCCCGACAGCGACACUGGGGGCAGUGAAUAGACCGGUGACAGUGCCUUUCACACACAUAAGCUGAAUUCGAUGGUUUUCUUCGUUCUGACACACAAAAGUGGGGUAUAGAGUGAUACUGUAAUUAUCGGUUUGUCUCAUAAAGCAACACAUAGCAUCAACCAGGCCAUGAUCAUCCAUUCAUACCACUGACAAAUCAGAGCUUCUAACUCAGACUCAGAUCAACCUGACAGAUCAACACGGUCAAGUCUGUUUUUUUUUUUUUUUUUAACACACAAUUUAGGAAAAUAAACAGGUAACCCGGAAACCUUUUUUUUUUUUUUUUUGGAGGACAUACAAUAGAUAUUUCCUGAUAUUAGUUUGCACUUUUCUGUUAUUGAGCAGGCACUUUCUAAACAGAGCUUUCCAGAAGUCUAAAGUACAUGUCGUAUAAUUAUGGCAGUGACAAUGAGGAGAAAAGAAGAAAAAAAGAAAUCAAUCAAAUGAAAUGUAAAAAAAAAAAAAAAGUGGGGGAGGAGACAUUCCUUUUUAAAGAUGGAAAGCUUUGACUGGAGGCCAGGCUGGAUCCGCUGCAGGUAGGUGUGAUUAAUGGUCUUAAUAAAAGCUAGUAUGUUGCUGAAGCUCAAUCACAUGUAAAGAAUGUAGCACCCUCUUCCCUUUUCGGGUCACCAGUCAUUGCAGUCACAUUUAAACCAUCAUCAUCAUCAUCACCAUUAGAAUCAUUUUCACACCUGCAUCAUCACCAAUACCAUCAUCACAUCUUCAGAACUUGUAGGAGGUCUACGGCUGAGUUAGUACUAGAUCUCUUCUACUGGUUAUCGUGUGUGUGUGUAUGUGUGUGUCUGUGUGUGUGCGUGCGUUGCCUCUGUGGAUCUUGCUGAUAUCUUUUGGGUGUUGGGUUCCCCAACGUAACAUAUUGUUAGGCAAAAUAGCAUUCAUAAUAAUUGGCACUACUGGCAAAAAGGGUUUAAUUUUUGCUAGCCAAGAAACAAAAACACAAAGUGUAAAUGUUUUGUCUGAAAGGUCGUUGUUUCAGCUAACGUUUGUUUUUCCCACUUAAAAUUCUAACAUUAGGUUUUUCAGUUGCAUGCUUUAACAAAAUGUUCUUUUCAGUAAUACUUAUACUGGAUACUCUUAAAGUGAAGCAGUUAAAAUCCUCUCACAGUCCAUAGCCACUAACAUGUUCUUUUUGCUGUUUCUUUGUCUUAAAUCUCAUGCACAUUACUCCGUUUGUAAUAUCUACAUUAUUUACAAGCAUAACAGCCAUCCUGUGUACCCAGGUCUCUGUCUUAAGUUCUCAUUAUGGGAGUAAAAUAAUUUAUAAUCUUAAAUACAGUCCUCUUAUGAAAAAGUUUCAGGGUCCUCAUAUCCCCUUACCUCGUAAGUUUAUAUACAGGAAUAUGCAAUAGUCCAAAAUAUGGAUUUGAUCGCCCGUAUGGGCUAAUAUGGGGACCAAUGCCCUGUAUAGGGGCAGGUAUAGGACCCAUGUCCUGUACAGAGCAAGCAUAGAGACCUCUCAGAGUCAAGAAGAAGUCAAGGCAAUGGUAUGUGACUCUCUCCUCAAAACCACAGGUGGGAUUUAGAGGUUCACGCAAAGAACAAACUAACAGAGACAUUUAACCAUUAGAACAUGUCAUAGUUUAUCACACGGGGGGGAGAAAGCAGUCUCAAGCUAAACCACCCUUGAGCCAAUUUAAAUAAAUAAUCAGACCCUUAAAUAAAUAAAAUUUAAAAAAAGAAAAAGAAGAAG